AAAAAACAUUGAUUAUUUAUCUGUACUUGUAUGUUCGAACGUUGUAAUUGCUAUUUAUUAGAAUUAUCCAGUAGAGGGAGCUCUAAUACAAGUGUGAACUGCAGCAGCUGACGCGCUACUUCUGUAAUAAGACGUUUGUCACUCGUGCCUCAUCCAAUAUACUCCACUGCAAGACUUGUCUGCACAGAUUCGAUUGCCACAAUAAAGGGAUGGUUUUUCAUGCUGAAAUGUGGUUGCCAUGGGAAUGGUACAAAUGAUGUGAGCACUGAGAGCAGUAACUGCAGCCAGGAAGAAGUGAGCAUGGAAUUAAUGUAUGCUUCUGUGGAUUUAGAGGUAAACAGUGCAGAAAAUGUGUGGAGGUGGAAUCUGGAAGCACAGUUAGCAGUCAUACAUGGAGUGAAAUGUAUUGUUCUC